rnacentral:rRNA from 1 species
CCUACGGGAGGCUGCAGUGAGGAAUAUUGGUCAAUGGACGCAAGUCUGAACCAGCCAUGCCGCGUGCAGGAAGACGGCUCUAUGAGUUGUAAACUGCUUUUGUACGAGGGUAAACGCGGAUACGUGUAUCCGUCUGAAAGUACCGUACGAAUAAGGAUCGGCUAACUCCGUGCCAGCAGCCGCGGUAAUACGGAGGAUUCAAGCGUUAUCCGGAUUUAUUGGGUUGAAAGGGUGCGUAGGCGGUCUGAUAAGUUAGAGGUGAAAUGCCGGGGCUUAACUUCGGAAUUGCCUCUGAUACUGUUCGGCUAGAGAGUAGUUGCGGUAGGCGGAAUGUAUGGUGUAGCGGUGAAAUGCUUAGAGAUCAUACAGAACACCGAUUGCGAAGGCAGCUUACCAAGCUACUUCUGACGUUGAGGCACGAAAGCGUGGGGAGCAAACAGGAUUAGAUACCCCUGUAGUC